UUUAUCAAACGAUACUCCAACCUUCCCCAUCUCUAUUCGUAUAUCUUCAAUUUGUCCAGGAAAUCCAGUAUCUAUUAAAACUGCCAUUUCAUCAUCCCAUAAAAGAAUUGGGUGAAUAAUAUACUCUUGAAAUUCAAGAUGUAACAUCUCUACCCCUUUAGCAAUCUCCAUAACAUUAUUCUCCUUUAUAACGAAAUUUUUGAAAUCUAAAAAUUGGCCUGAUAAACAAGUAAUUCUAAAUUACAAAGCCCCGCUAUCGUUUAAUAUGUUUCGUCAUACCAAUCGAAAAUCCCUCAAAUCCAAUUGAUUCAUAGUAAGAUUUUAAAUCUUCAACACACAUAAGUUGUGGAAUAACUCGUUUUUGUUCACAGUGCCGGAUUAAUCGUUCCACUAUUUCCUUUCCAACGCCCAUGGACUGAUACUCUGGCAUUACACAUACACCGCAAAUAAUGCCCGUUAUUACACCAUCUGAUAUUACUCGUCCCAUCCCAAUUAAUUGUUGCUCUUUAAAAGCAUAUAUCACAUACCAACUUUGUUUACACAUUUGCUCUAACUCAUUAACCGAUAAUUCAAGAGAAUUCCAUCCUAAAGAUUCAUACAUAGUUAAUAAUUCAUUGAAAUCUUUAGGGGGUUCAAUCGUGUAAUUUAAAAUAGUUUUCAUGUAAAUACUCCUUAUCAUCCUUUUUGUUUUUAUUCCAUAAAAUUUUUGACCGUCGUUAAACUAACUGUGAUCUACCCAUGUCCAGGGUGAAGUUCAGGUAACACUGAAUGGAGGCCCGAACCCACGCACGUUGAAAAGUGCGGGG
rnacentral:rRNA from 1 species